GUCUGUUCCUCCUUCCUAUUCUCACCGCCUCUCUGCCUUUCUAUUCUUCUAUUGUCAUUGCAUGUCCCCUCCUAAUUUUUCAGGUCACUGUUGCAACAACUGCACUUCUUUUCUCAGGGGCUCUCUAUUCCAAUCCAUUCUCUCACUUACACCCAAGAUAGCUGUUAAAAACACAGCUAUGAUCAUAUUUCUCUCUAUGGAAACUCACUAAUGGCUCUUCUUUGUUUGUAAGACAAACUCUAAAAUAAUAUAACUAGUAGGUCUUUUACAGGCUGCACCCAAAACACAUGUGUGGCUUGUUGCCAUCCAUCAUGCCUUUACAUCCCAGCCAUAACAGUCUUCCUACCAUCCUCCAAGAAGGUAAGAUUUUAUUUCUCAAAAUAAAAUCCCCCAAGCUGGUCCUUCCCAUUUACAUUGCCCUGACAUUCUAAUGCCAUUUCGUCUGCUUAAGAAUCUUUUCUUCCCUGCCAGACAAUAUCUUACUCAUGUUUUAGUAUCAAGAUUAAAUAUCUAUUCCUCUGGAAAGGCUUUCUAGCAUUUCUUCCAUCGGACAGUGCUCCCCUCCCCCAGGACAAAUCUCUCUCUCUGCAGAGUCCCCAUGACUCAUGAAUGUAUUCAAUUAUAAGCUGUUAGUAACUAGAUUAUAAUUUUUGCUUGGAGAUUGAAUCAACUUUUAUAGAUGAUAAAUUCCUUAAAGAUAAAGAUCAUUUUCACUUAGUUAUCUAUAGGUCCCUGAAUGCCUGGAACAGUCCCUGGCGGAGUAAAUACUUCAUAUUUGGCAAGAAUACCUGGCGCUUGUUUUCCAGAAGAGCUGCUUCCCAAGUCCACGUGUCAUACAGCACAGCAAAUCUGUCCACAUCUGCAUGGGCCCAUCCCCACUCCUGGCCACUCUUUGGCUGGCUGCCCACUUUGUGACCUGGGAGAAAAGAGGCCCUCUAGCUAUUGAAGGGGAGAUCAUGAGAAACCUUCCAGGGAACCAGAGCACAGAAUGACUGUUAGUUGUUUUUUCAAGUCUAUAUAAACAUUUCAACAGAUCACAAAGAAAACAUUUAUCUCUUCGGUCCUCGCAAGAGAAGUCAAAGGAACUUUUGUUUCUUAUCAAGAGCCUGGACAUCUUUGUCUGUCGUAACUGGAAAGAGCCUGUUGUACUGAAAUCCUGUUAUCAUGGUGGAUUUGAUCUUCAGUGGCCAAACAUGAAGAAUUAAAAGCAUAAUUCUUGACUGAACUGGUGGGUGGGUUGAACUUUAGGAGUACAUGGGCGGUCAUUCCUGGCGCACAUAUCAGUGUGACAUGAGCCCUGGAGCAUGUCGUCCCUCUCAGCCCUGCUCCUUUCUGUCUCCUGGGGCCCAGUGACUGAGGCCUUACGCUAGAACUGUGUAUCAUCCAACUCUCCAUUUAUAAAGGAAACUUCCUGCUGCAACAACAAAAAAAAAAAAGAAAGAAAAGAAAUGUCCCUGGUCAACAAACAGAGUCUGAAUCACAGCAAGAAUUACAACCCGGCCCUGAAAGAGUAGUCACCAUCUCUAUCAGAAGCAGGGCUUGAGCUGGAAACAGAACUGUGUCUCUCCUAAAGUGAAUGCAUUUUAGGGGUGGGGGAAGUGUGCGCUUAUUGAGUUUUCACAUACUAUUGGAUAUGUGUUUAUAUUUUGGGGUGGAGAGUAUUAAAAAGGAGCCCUUAGUGUUUUUUGUUUAUUUAGGCAGUUGAUUUUUUUUUUUUUUUAAAUCUGACUUCUCACCCCUUUCUUUCUCAAUGUAAUGGCUAGC
rnacentral:lncRNA from 1 species